rnacentral:rRNA from 1 species
GAUGAACGCUGGCGGCGUGCUUAACACAUGCAAGUCGAACGGAAAGGCCCAAGCUUGCUUGGGUACUCGAGUGGCGAACGGGUGAGUAACACGUGGGUGAUCUGCCCUGCACUUCGGGAUAAGCCUGGGAAACUGGGUCUAAUACCGGAUAGGACGAUGGUUUGGAUGCCAUUCUGGAAAGUUUUUUCGGUGUGGGAUGAGCUCGCGGCCUAUCAGCUUGUUGGUGGGGUAAUGGCCUACCAAGGCGUCGACGGGUAGCCGGCCUGAGAGGGUGUACGGCCACAUUGGGACGGAGAUACGGCCCAGACUCCUACGGGAGGCAGCAGUGGGGAAUAUUGCACAAUGGGAGCAAGCCUGAGGCAGCGACGCCGCGUGGGGGAUGAAGGCCUUCGGGUUGUAAACUCCUUUCGCUAGGGACGAAGCGUUUUUGUGACGGUACCUGGAGAAGAAGCACCGGCUAACUACGUG